UGGGGAUACGGUUUCCAUAACGUAUGAUGGAUUGUCUGCCAGUUUGGAUGCUGAAAAUGCAGGGCGCACACCAUGUGAAGAAAGAAAUGAAAAUUUUCAGCAAAUUUUUGAUGGGGAUACGGUUUCCAUAACGUAUGAUGGAUUGUCUGCCAGGUGAAUAAUUGUGCUAAAAUUUUGUAAAAAAAAUUGUUAUGAAAUUAAUGAAAUACUUGAGCUGUACUUGUGGGAUUACAAUCCCUUGCUAAUAUUCAUGUAAUAAGUAUGACUCAUUUUUUCAUUUAUACAUUGUUACUCCUUCUGUCUAGUUUGGAUGCUGAAAAUGCAGGGCGCACACCAUGUGAAGAAAGAAAUGAAAAUUUUCAGCAGUAAGUAUUUGAGCUUACAAUUUGCUAACAUUUUUAUA